rnacentral:rRNA from 1 species
UACGAAGGGGGCUAGCGUUGCUCGGAAUCGCUGGGCGUAAAGCGCACGUAGGCGGCUUUUUAAGUCAGGGGUGAAAUCCUGGAGCUCAACUCCAGAACUGCCUUUGAUACUGAGAAGCUUGAGUCCGGGAGAGGUGAGUGGAACUGCGAGUGUAGAGGUGAAAUUCGUAGAUAUUCGCAAGAACCCCAGUGGCGAAGGCGGCUCCCUGGCCCGGUACUGACGCUGAGGUGCGAAAGCGUGGGGAGCAAACAGG